AAACCUGAGAAACCCAAAAGAUCGAAUGGGGAGAUUCAUCGUCAGCGAUUCUGGCUUCCGUGUGGUAGGCGAUAUUUCGGGACUUCGGUCUCGGGGCACGCUGCCACUGCGGUAUGUCUGGAGUCGUCGGCGUGCACUUCUCCCCUAGUAGGACGUCGCGACCCGUUGGGUGCCGGCCUACGGCCCGGUUGGUCGACUGUCGCGUCGCGUUUACGUGCACGCUACAGACCACCGGUCGCCCGGCCGGCUGCCCGGCGGUAUAGAACGCAUUGAAACGGUAUUGGGCCGCACAUUUGUGCGUCCCGGCUCGUCGGCAGGCUCGCCUCGCUCGGAUCUACGGACCUAGUGCCGUAGCCGGGUGCUUGGUGUGGUCGUUAGUCGACGAUGUCCUCGGACCGGCUCUUACCGGUCGGCGACGCUACUGCUUUGGGUACUUU
rnacentral:rRNA from 1 species